AAAACUAACUCUGUGGAGUACCUUGUCUGCAUAAAUAAUCCACCCUUUUAUCUCUUUUGCAACCUUUUCCAAUCCGAUCCUGUUUGACGUGUCAAAAUUCUGACAGGUUAAUCCUGUCAUUUGGUGUACAUUUUCUUCGAUGCUCAAUUGUUGCGGUGUCAAACAGCCCCCAAGCAAUUCUCCAUCUGCUCCAUUUGCAAACUGAUCUUCUUCAACUUUCUUGCCAGUCCGUUAAAAGAAUAAUGAUUUCUCAGGCGAGAAAUCGAAGCAGUGGUCAUCUUUCUGAUAUUGUUUCUCUAAUUCGGCAAUCUGUCAGCCAGUCAUCAGCUUCAUAAAUCAAGUCUUUGAUCCUAAUCAUUUUCAACUUCAGAGCUUUCUUCUUAUUUUUGAGGGUCUUGUGUCAUUGAUGAAGGCCCUCAUAAACUCAAGUUGUGUAAUCAUUCUUCAAACUGA